AGAUAUAUAAGGUGCCCUUCGGGGAAAGUUGAGACGAGGGUGGUGUCGAUGGUUCGUCGUCAGCUCGUGUCGAUGAUAUGUUGGGAUUAACGCUCCCGCAAACGAGCGCACACCCCUGCCAUUAGUUGCUACUGCAAGAGCACUCUACAUGGGACCGCUACCGACGAAGGUGGCAGGAAGGUGGGGAUGACGUCAAAUCAUCAUGCCCCUUCAUGUGCUGGUGCUACACACGUAAUACAAUGGUCGUAAACAAAGAGAAGACAAAACCGCGAGGUGGAGCAAAACUCAAAAAGCGAUCUCACGUUCGGACUGUAGUGCUGAAACUCGCCUGCACGAAGUUGGAAUUGCUAUAAUCGUGGAUCAUCAUGCCACGGUGAAUACUGUUCCCGGCGUCUUGUACAC
rnacentral:rRNA from 1 species